rfam:Bacteroidetes bacterium MedPE-SWsnd-G2 Bacteroidetes-MedPE-SWsnd-G2-C6, whole genome shotgun sequence.
UAACCUCUGGCGAGAAACGUGAAUGUUA